rnacentral:rRNA from 1 species
UCCAGACUCCUACGGGAGGCAGCAGUGGGGGAUAUUGCACAAUGGGGGGAACCCUGAUGCAGCGACGCCGCGUGGGUGAAGGAGCGUUUCGGCGCGUAAAGCCCUCUCGGCAGGGAAGAAGGAGGACGGUACCUGACUAAGAAGCCCCGGCUAACUACGUGCCAGCAGCCGCGGUAAUACGUAGGGGGCAAGCGUUAUCCGGAUUUACUGGGUGUAAAGGGGGCGCAGACGGCAGCGCAAGCCAGGAGUGAAAGCCCGGGGCCCAACCCCGGGACUGCUCUUGGAACUGCGCGGCUGGAGUGCAGGAGGGGCAGGCGGAAUUCCUGGUGUAGCGGUGAAAUGCGUAGAUAUCAGGAGGAACACCGGUGGCGAAGGCGGCCUGCUGGACUGCGACUGACGUUGAGGCCCGAAAGCGUGGGGAGCAAACAGGAUUAGAUACCCGAGUAUCC